GCUAUAACAGCCUCUGUAUUUAUACUGUAAUCGAUGCGGAAAUAUAUCUAUAGUCAUAAUGAUUGUUAAUUAAUUAUUAGUUUUAUUUUAACACUAAUAUUUUGUAAAUAUCUAGAUAGUAAUAUAAUAAUUCAUAUAAUAUUUAUAUUAUUGAUUUUGAUAAAUAAUAUUUGUGAACUAAAUGGCUGGAAAGAGGAGGA
rnacentral:lncRNA from 1 species